AGAGUUACACCAAUGGUACAAGCGGUGCAGGACCCACGAUGAGGUUGUAUUGUCCGCACCACCGCACGUGAUUAUAGACGACUGGCAGAUACUUUGUAAGAGAUUUUCGUCUGAGGCUUUUCAGAAGAGGAGCAGAAUAAAUUCUGCGAACAAGGAAAAGUUACAAGUGAACCACGUAGCUGGUUCAAAGUCAUUUGUACGACAUUAUUAUGACUUGCGAGAUUCCAUCACCGGCCAAGAGCCUAGACCAGUAGACCUCUACAGAGGGACUCACUGUCGGCAGACGACGGGAUCUUAGGUUCAUCCUAGUGCCAGCAAGAAUU